rnacentral:tRNA from 1 species
CCUUCGAUAGCUCAGCUGGUAGAGCGGAGGACUGUAGAUCCUUAGGUCGCUGGUUCGAUUCCGGCUCGUAGGA